rnacentral:rRNA from 1 species
GACGUAGGGUGCGAGCGUUGUCCGGAAUUAUUGGGCGUAAAGGGCGCGUAGGCGGUGCGGUAAGUCACCUGUGAAAACUCUGGGCUCAACUCAGAGCCUGCAGGCGAAACUGCCGUGCUUGAGUGUGGGAGAGGUGCGUGGAAUUCCCGGUGUAGCGGUGAAAUGCGUAGAUAGUCGGGAGGAACACCUGUGGCGAAAGCGGCGCACUGGACCACAACUGACGCUGAGGCGCGAAAGCUAGGGGAGCAAACAGG